UACGUAGGGUGCGAGCGUUAAUCGGAAUUACUGGGCGUAAAGCGUGCGUAGACGGUUAUGUAAGUCGGAUGUGAAAGCCCCGGGCUCAACCUGGGAAUGGCAUUCGAGACUGCAUAGCUAGGAUGCGGAAGAGGGAAGUGGAAUUUCCGGUGUAGCGGUGAAAUGCGUAGAUAUCGGAAGGAACACCAGUGGCGAAAGCGACUUCCUGGUCCAGCAUCGACGUUCAGGCACGAAAGCGUGGGGAGCAGACAGG
rnacentral:rRNA from 1 species